UACGGGGGGAGCAAGCGUUGUUCGGAUUUACUGGGCGUAAAGGGCGCGUAGGCGGUCAGCACAAGUCAGUUGUGAAAUCUCCGGGCUUAACUCGGAAAGGUCAACUGAUACUGCGCGACUAGAGUGCAGAAGGGGCAACUGGAAUUCUCGGUGUAGCGGUGAAAUGCGUAGAUAUCGAGAGGAACACCUGCGGCGAAGGCGGGUUGCUGGGCUGACACUGACGCUGAUGCGCGAAAGCCAGGGGAGCGAAAGGG
rnacentral:rRNA from 1 species